GGCUAGAUGGCCGAGCGGUCUAAGGCGCCACGUUAAGGCCGUGGUCCGAAAGGGCGUGAGUUCGAAUCUCACUGUUAGUCA
rnacentral:tRNA from 1 species